rnacentral:rRNA from 1 species
AACGAACGCUGGCGGCAGGCUUAACACAUGCAAGUCGAACGCCCCGCAAGGGGAGUGGCAGACGGGUGAGUAACGCGUGGGAACAUACCCUUUCCUGCGGAAUAGCUCUGGGAAACUGGAAUUAAUACCGCAUACGCCCUACGGGGGAAAGAUUUAUCGGGGAAGGAUUGGCCCGCGUUGGAUUAGCCAGUUGGUGGGGUAAAGGCCUACCAAGGCGACGAUCCAUAGCUGGUCUGAGAGGAUGAUCAGCCACAUUGGGACUGAGACACGGCCCAAACUCCUACGGGAGGCAGCAGUGGGGAAUAUUGGACAAUGGGCGCAAGCCUGAUCCAGCCAUGCCGCGUGAGUGAUGAAGACCUUAGGGUUGUAAAGCUCUUUCACCGAUGAAGAUAAUGACGGUAGUCGGAGAAGAAGCCCCGGCUAACUUCGUGCCAGCCGCCGCCGUAAAAC